UACAGAGGGUGCGAGCGUUAAUCGGAAUUACUGGGCGUAAAGCGCACGUAGUCGGCUUUGCAAGUCGGGUGUGAAAUCCCCGGGCUCAACCUGGGAACUGCAUCCGAGACUGCAUUGCUAGAGUAUGGGAGAGGGAAGCGGAAUUUCUGGUGUAGCAGUGAAAUGCGUAGAUAUCAGAAGGAACAUCAGUGGCGAAAGCGGCUUCCUGGACCAGAACUGACGAUCAGGCUCGAAAGCGUGGGGAGCAAACAGG
rnacentral:rRNA from 1 species